AGCUUUGCACAGUGGCAGUAUCUUAGCCAAUGAGACUCAUCCGAGGCGCGAUUAUUGCUAAUUGAAAACUCGCCCCCCCAAAAAAAACCUUUAGAAAACAAACAAACAUUUCUUUGAAACCUACAACUUUAUCACCUUAGUCUUUUGUAGG
ensembl:snRNA Gm25131 predicted gene, 25131